GCUAUACAUGCAAGUCGAACGCACAGCGAAAGGUGCUUGCACCUUUCAAGUGAGUGGCGAACGGGUGAGUAACACGUGGAUAACCUACCUCAAGGUUGGGGAUAACAUUUGGAAACAGAUGCUAAUACCGAAUAAAACUUCGUAUCGCAUGAUACAAGGUUAAAAGGCGCUACGGCGUCACCUAGAGAUGGAUCCGCGGUGCAUUAGUUAGUUGGUGGGGUAAAGGCCUACCAAGACAAUGAUGCAUAGCCGAGUUGAGAGACUGAUCGGCCACAUUGGGACUGAGACACGGCCCAAACUCCUACGGGAGGCUGCAGUAGGGAAUCUUCCACAAUGGGCGAAAGCCUGAUGGAGCAACGCCGCGUGUGUGAUGAAGGCUUUCGGGUCGUAAAGCACUGUUGUAUGGGAAGAACAGCUAGAGUAGGGAAUGACUUUAGUUUGACGGUACCAUACCAGAAAGGGACGGCUAAAUACGUGCCAGCAGCCGCGGUAAUACGUAUGUCCCGAGCGUUAUCCGGAUUUAUUGGGCGUAAAGCGAGCGCAGACGGUUGAUUAAGUCUGAUGUGAAAGCCCGGAGCUCAACUCCGGAAAGGCAUUGGAAACUGGUCAACUUGAGUGCAGUAGAGGUAAGUGGAACUCCAUGUGUAGCGGUGGAAUGCGUAGAUAUAUGGAAGAACACCAGCGGCGAAGGCGGCUUACUGGACUGUAACUGACGUUGAGGCUCGAAAGUGUGGGUAGCAAACAGGAUUAGAUACCCUGGUAGUCCACACCGUAAACGAUGAACACUA
rnacentral:rRNA from 1 species